rnacentral:rRNA from 1 species
GACGAACGCUGGCGGCGUGCUUAACACAUGCAAGUCGAACGGAAAGGCCCUGCUUUUGUGGGGUGCUCGAGUGGCGAACGGGUGAGUAACACGUGAGUAACCUGCCCUUGACUUUGGGAUAACUUCAGGAAACUGGGGCUAAUACCGGAUAGGAGCUCCUGCUGCAUGGUGGGGGUUGGAAAGUUUCGGCGGUUGGGGAUGGACUCGCGGCUUAUCAGCUUGUUGGUGGGGUAGUGGCUUACCAAGGCUUUGACGGGUAGCCGGCCUGAGAGGGUGACCGGACACAUUGGGACUGAGAGACGGCCCAGACUCCAACGGGAGGCAGCAGUGGGGAAUAUUGCACAAUGGGAGGAAGCCUGAUGCAGAAACGCCGCGUGCGGGAUGACGGCCUUCGGGUUGUAAACAGAUUUCGCCUGUGACGAAGAGUGAGUGACGGUAAUGGGUAAAGAAGCACCGGCUAACUACGUG